UGUUAAAUAGCCGCGGUAUCUUGACCGUGCAAAGGUAGCAUAAUCAUUAGUUUUUUAAUUGGAAACUGGUAUGAAUGGUUGGACAAAGAAAAAUCUGUCUCUUUUAUUAAAAUUGAAUUUAACUUUUAAGUGAAAAGGCUUAAAUUUUCUAGAGGGACGAUAAGACCCUAUAAAGCUUUAUAAAUUUGAUAAUUUCUGUAGAUUUAAUAGAUAAAUAUAAUUUUGAAAAAUUUAUUUUGUUGGGGCGACAAAGGUAUAAUUAAAAUAACUGCCAAUAUUCUUUACAAUAAUUUUUGAUUUUGAGUAGUAAAUGAUCCCUUCUAAGGAUUAAGAGAUCAAGUUACUUUAGGGAUAACAGCGUAAUCUUUUUAGAGAGUACUUAUCAAAAAAAAGGUUUGCGACCUCGAUGUUGAAUUAAAAUGUCUUUAUGGUGCAGCAGCUAUAUAAGAAGGUCUGUUCGACCUUUAAUUUUUUACGUGAUCUGAGUUCA
rnacentral:rRNA from 1 species